CCUACGGGAGGCUGCAGUGGGGAAUAUUGCGCAAUGGGCGAAAGCCUGACGCAGCGACGCCGCGUGGGUGAUGUAGGCCUUCGGGUUGUAAAGCCCUGUCGGGUGGAACGAACGAUCUGGCGGCGAAUAACCGCCGGGUGUGACGGUACCACCGAAGGAAGCCCCGGCUAACUACGUGCCAGCAGCCGCGGUAAGACGUAGGGGGCGCGCGUUGUUCGGAGUUACUGGGCGGAAAGGUAAGGUAGGCGGCAAAUCCCUCGGCUUAACCGAGGUCCCGCAUCCGAUACUGUCUGGCUCGAGUCUAGGAGAGGAAAGCGGAAUUCCCAGUGUAGCGGUGAAAUGCGUAGAUAUUGGGAGGAACACCGGUGGCGAAGGCGGCUUUCCGGACUAGUACUGACGCUGAGGCGCGAAAGCUAGGGGAGCGAACGGGAUUAGAUACCCCUGUAGUC
rnacentral:rRNA from 1 species